rnacentral:ncRNA from 1 species
UCGGCUAUGCGUUUUAAUUUUUGACUCUAUUUGUUGUGGUGCUAUGAGUUUUUAGUUUGUUUUUAUGUUGUUUUUUGUAAAAUAUUUUGAUUUUUUUUUAGUUUCUUGUGGUAUCAAAAAUUUGUUUUUUGAACUGGAUUAGUACCCAGGUAAUCAAAAUUUAAUAAUUCGGGAGUAAAGUUUUGUUUAAACCGAAAAAAUAUUGACUGACUUUAGAUUUUUCUUUGGAACAUGUGAUUUGCUGGAGAGCCCUCUUUUUUGGUGAAUUUUGUUGGCACAUGUAUGAUUGUUUAGUUUUUAUUUUAUUUUGUAAUGCUUUGUUGUUUUGGCAUUAAAAACAGAUAUAUAUUUGGCUUAUGAAUUUAUGUUUCAUGUGUUACUAUUAUGAAUUUUUUUUGGAUUAGUUUUUUAUUUUUUUUUGAAAUUGGAAAAGAAAGUAAUUUUUUUUUAAUGUUUUAAUGAAUUUAAUAAAUAAGGUGGUACAAACCAUCCGUCAAUGGCCUAAAGGGGCGUAAGUUG